rnacentral:rRNA from 1 species
GCUGGCGGCAUGCUUAACACAUGCAAGUCGAACGUGAAAGCACUUCGGUGUGAGUAGAGUGGCGGACGGGUGAGUAACGCGUGGGAAUCUGCCCAGUAGUGGGGGACAACUACCGGAAACGGUAGCUAAUACCGCAUACGCCCUAUGGGGGAAAGGCUUCGGCCGCUAUUGGAUGAGCCCGCGUCAGAUUAGCUAGUUGGUAGGGUAAAGGCCUACCAAGGCAACGAUCUGUAGCUGGUCUGAGAGGACGAACAGCCACACUGGGACUGAGACACGGCCCAGACUCCUACGGGAGGCAGCAGUGGGGAAUAUUGGACAAUGGGCGAAAGCCUGAUCCAGCAAUGCCGCGUGUGUGAAGAAGGCCUGCGGGUUGUAAAGCACUUUCAGUUGGGAAGAUGAUGACGUUACCAACAGAAGAAGCACCGGCUAAAUCCGUGCCAGCAGCCGCGGUAAUACGGAUGGUGCGAGCGUUAAUCGGAAUUACUGGGCGUAAAGCGCGCGUAGGCGGCUAAGUCAGUCAGAAGUGAAAGCCCCGGGCUCAACCUGGGAAUUGCUUUUGAUACUGCUUGGCUAGAGUUUGGUAGAGGAUAGUGGAAUUCCAGGUGUAGCGGUGAAAUGCGUAGAUAUCUGGAGGAACAUCAGUGGCGAAGGCGACUGUCUGGACCAAAACUGACGCUGAGGUGCGAAAGCGUGGGUAGCAAACAGGAUUAGAUACCCUGGUAGUCCACGCCGUAAACGAUGUCAACUA